GACAGAGGAGCCAAGCGUUGUCCGGACUGACUGGGCGUAAAGCGCACGCAGGCGGACGCGCGCGUGGGGUGUGAAAUCUGGCCGCUUAACGGCCAGGCGCCAUCCCAUACGGCGCGUCUGGAGUGAUGCAGAGGUCGAUGGAAUUGCCGGUGUAGUGGUGAAAUGCGUAGAGAUCGGCAGGAACACCCAGGGGGAAACCAGUCGACUGGGCAUCUACUGACGCUGAGGUGCGAGAGCGUGGGGAGCGAACCGG
rnacentral:rRNA from 1 species